UACGUAGGGUGCAAGCGUUAAUCGGAAUUACUGGGCGUAAAGCGUGCGCAGGCGGUUUCGUAAGUCUGUCGUGAAAUCCCCGGGCUUAACCUGGGAAUGGCGUUUGAAACUACGGAGCUGGAGUGUGGCAGAGGGAGGUAGAAUUCCACGUGUAGCGGUGAAAUGCGUAGAUAUGUGGAGGAAUACCGAUGGCGAAGGCAGCCUCCUGGGCCAACACUGACGCUCAUGCACGAAAGCGUGGGGAGCAAACAGG
rnacentral:rRNA from 1 species